rnacentral:rRNA from 1 species
GACGAACGCUGGCGGCGUGCUUAACACAUGCAAGUCGAACGAAGAGCGAUGGACGCUUGCUUCUAUCAAUCUUAGUGGCGAACGGGUGAGUAACGCGUAAUCAACCUGCCCUUCAGAGGGGGACAACAGUUGGAAACGACUGCUAAUACCGCAUACGAUCUAAUCUCGGCAUCGAGGAUAGAUGAAAGGUGGCCUCUACAUGUAAGCUCUCACUGAAGGCGGGGAUUGCGUCUGAUUAGCUAGUUGGAGGGGUAACGGCCCACCAAGGCGAUGAUCAGUAGCCGGUCUGAGAGGAUGAACGGCCACAUUGGGACUGAGACACGGCCCAGACUCCUACGGGAGGCAGCAGUGGGGAAUCUUCCGCAAUGGACGAAAGUCAGACGGAGCAACGCCGCGUGAGUGAUGACGGCCGUCGGGUUGUAAAGCUCUGUUAAUCGGGACGAAAGGCCUUCUUGCGAAUAGUGAGAAGGAUUGACGGUACCGGAAUAGAAAGCCACGGCUAACUACGUG